rnacentral:rRNA from 1 species
CAGUCGCCGCGGUAAUACGUAGGGUGCAAGCGUUACUCGGAAUUACUGGGCGUAAAGCGUGCGUAGGUGGUGGUUUAAGUCCGUUGUGAAAGCCCUGGGCUCAACCUGGGAAUUGCAGUGGAUACUGGGUCACUAGAGUGUGGUAGAGGAUAGUGGAAUUUCCGGUGUAGCAGUGAAAUGCGUAGAGAUCGGAAGGAACAUCUGUGGCGAAGGCGACUAUCUGGGCCAACACUGACACUGAGGCACGAAAGCGUGGGGAGCAAACAGGAUUAGAUACCCCCGUAGUCCCUGUCUCUUAUAC